UGGGGAAUAUUGGGCAAUGGGCGCAAGCCUGACCCAGCCACGCCGCGUGAGUGAUGAAGGCCUUCGGGUCGUAAAGCUCUGUGGGGAAGGACGAAAAAACAUUGGCUAAUAUCCAAUGGCUUGACGGUACUUCCUUAGCAAGCACCGGCUAACUCUGUGCCAGCAGCCGCGGUAAUACAGAGGGUGCAAACGUUGCUCGGAAUCAUUGGGCGUAAAGCGCACGUAGGCGGCCUGAUAAGUCGGUAGUGAAAGCCCUCGGCUUAACCGAGGAAGUGCUAUCGAAACUGCCAGGCUUGAGUACCGGAGAGGAUCGCGGAAUUCCCGGUGUAGAGGUGAAAUUCGUAGAUAUCGGGAGGAACACCAGUGGCGAAGGCGGCGAUCUGGACGGAUACUGACGCUGAGGUGCGAAAGCGUGGGGAGCAAACAGGAUUAGAUACCCAUGUAGUCCCUGAGCGGGCUGGCAAGGCGCAU
rnacentral:rRNA from 1 species